rnacentral:rRNA from 1 species
UAGGGAAUAUUGCUUAAUGGGCGAAAGCCUGAAGCAGCAACGCCGCGUGUGCGAUGAAGGCCUUCGGGUUGUAAAGCACUUUUCGAGGGGAUGAGGAAGGACAGUACCCUUGGAAUAAGUCUCGGCUAACUACGUGCCAGCAGCCGCGGUAAAACGUAGGAGACGAGCGUUAUCCGGAUUUACUGGGCGUAAAGCGCGUGCAGGCGGUUCGGUAAGUUGGAUGUGAAAGCUCCUGGCUUAACUGGGAGAGGUCGUUCAAUACUACCGGACUUGAGUGUGGGAGAGGGAGGUGGAAUUCCGGGUGUAGUGGUGAAAUGCGUAGAUAUCCGGAGGAACACCAGUGGCGAAAGCGGCCUCCUGGCCCAAUACUGACGCUCAGACGCGAAAGCUAGGGGAGCGA